UACGAAGGGGCUAGCGUUGCUCGGAAUCACUGGGCGUAAAGCGCACGUAGGCGGCUUCUUAAGUCAGGGGUGAAAUCCUGGAGCUCAACUCCAGAACUGCCUUUGAUACUGGGAGGCUCGAGUCCGGGAGAGGUGAGUGGAACUGCGAGUGUAGAGGUGAAAUUCGUAGAUAUUCGCAAGAACACCAGUGGCGAAGGCGGCUCACUGGCCCGGUACUGACGCUGAGGUGCGAAAGCGUGGGGAGCAAACAGGG
rnacentral:rRNA from 1 species